AUGGACGCAAGUCUGAUGGAGCAACGCCGCGUGAGUGAAGAAGGCUUUCGGGUCGUAAAACUCUGUUGUUGGAGAAGAAUGGUCGGCAGAGUAACUGUUGUCGGCGUGACGGUAUCCAACCAGAAAGCCACGGCUAACUACGUGCCAGCAGCCGCGGUAAUACGUAGGUGGCAAGCGUUAUCCGGAUUUAUUGGGCGUAAAGCGAGCGCAGGCGGUUUUUUAAGUCUGAUGUGAAAGCCCUCGGCUUAACCGAGGAAGCGCAUCGGAAACUGGGAAACUUGAGUGCAGAAGAGGACAGUGGAACUCCAUGUGUAGCGGUGAAAUGCGUAGAUAUAUGGAAGAACACCAGUGGCGAAGGCGGCUGUCUGGUCUGUAACUGACGCUGAGGCUCGAAAGCAUGGGUAGCGAACAGGAUUAGAUACCCUGGUAGUCCAUGCCGUAAACGAUGAAUGCUAGGUGUUGGAGGGUUUCCGCCCUUCAGUGCCGCAGCUAACGCAUUAAGCAUUCCGCCUGGGGAGUACGACCGCAAGGUUGAAACUCAAAGGAAUUGACGGGGGCCCGCACAAGCGGUGGAGCAUGUGGUUUAAUUCGAAGCAACGCGAAGAACCUUACCAGGUCUUGACAUCUUUUGAUCACCUGAGAGGUCAGGUUUCCC
rnacentral:rRNA from 2 species